AGUGAACGCUGGCGGUAGGCCUAACACAUGCAAGUCGAACGGCAGCACAGUAAGAGCUUGCUCUUACGGGUUGCGAGUGGCGGACGGGUGAGGAAUACAUCGGAAUCUACUUUUUCGUGGGGGAUCACGUAGGGAAACUUACGCUAAUACCGCAUACGCCCUACGGGUGAAAGCAGGGGAUCUUCGGACCUUGCGCGAUUGAAUGAGCCGAUGUCGGAUUAGCUAGUUGGCGGGGUAAAGGCCCACCAAGGCGACGAUCCGUAGCUGGUCUGAGAGGAUGGUCAGCCACACUGGAACUGAGACACGGUCCAGACUACUAAGAGAGGCAGCAGUGGGGAAUAUUGGACAAUGGGCGCAAGCCUGAUCCAGCCAUACCGCGUGGGUGAAGAAGGCCUUCGGGUUGUAAAGCCCUUUUGUUGGGAAAGAAAAGCAGCAGGUUAAUACCCCGCUGUUCUGACGGUACCCAAAGAAUAAGCACCGGCUAACUUCGUG
rnacentral:rRNA from 1 species